UGGCUCAGUCGGUAGAGCGUGGUGUUUGCAACGCCAGGGUUGUGGGUUCUAUUCCCAC
rnacentral:tRNA from 1 species